rnacentral:lncRNA from 1 species
GGACACAGCAUGGCCAUGAGGGCCCUUGCUCAGCUCCUGCUGCUCCUGCUGCUCUGCCUCCCAGCUAAGGAGGGGCAGCACUGGGGAUUUACUAAUCACAGUGUGGUCACUGCUGGCUGGCUACUCAGGAAAGUCCUCUUGAAACAUGAAUAAUUAUAGGGAUAUUUAUGUUUAUGUUUCUAAUGUCAGGUGCCAGAUGUUACAUCACGAUUACCCAGUCUCCAUCCUCUCUAUCUGCAUCUCCAGGAGAGAGUCACCUUCACCUGCAGGGCCAGUCAGAGUAUUAACAGUUGGUUAGCUUGGAAUCAACAGAAACCAGGGCAAGCUCCUAAGCUCCUCAUAUAUAAGGCAGCCAAUUUGCAGUCUGGGGUCCCCUCGAGAUUCAGUGGCAGUGGAUCUGGGACAGAUUACACUCUCACCAUCAGCAGCCUGGAGCCUGAAGAUGUUUCCACUUAUUUUUGUCAACAAGGUUGGAGUUCCCCUUUCACAGUGAUACAGGCCAUGACAAAAACCUC